GACGAACGCUGGCGGCGUGCUUAACACAUGCAAGUCGAACGGAAAUGCCCUGCUUUUGUGGGGUGCUCGAGUGGCGAACGGGUGAGUAACACGUUAGUAACCUGCCCUUGACUUUGGGAUAACUUCAGGAAACUGGGGCUAAUACCGGAUAGGAGCUCCUGCUGCAUGGUGUGGGUUGGAAAGUUUCGGCGGUUGGGGAUGGACUCGCGGCUUAUCAGCUUGUUGGUGGGGUAGUGGCUUACCAAGGCUUUGACGGGUAGCCGGCCUGAGAGGGUGACCGGCCACAUUGGGACUGAGAUAAGGCCCAGACUCCUACGGGAGGCAGCAGUGGGGAAUAUUGCACAAUGGGCGGAAGCCUGAUGCAGCAACGCCGCGUGCGGGAUGACGGCCUUCGGGUUGUAAACCGCUUUCGCCUGUGACGAAGCGUGAGUGACGGUAAUGGGUAAAGAAGCACCGGCUAACUACGUG
rnacentral:rRNA from 1 species